rnacentral:lncRNA from 1 species
CUUCUCAAAGCCCUAACAAACCACGGGUUAAUUGAUCCGGAUUCUCAUCGCCUGGAAGACAUCGACGCGUGUUCUUCCGAGUGUGAGGUGCACAUUGCUCAGGAAUGGCUCGAGAAGCUUCCAGAAGCUUCCUACGAUGAACAGUAUGUUCUCAAAAAGAAUUCUAGGGCUAGGGUUCUGAACAAGCAUUCGAGACUCGGUUGUCAGGUGUCUACGAUGAACAGUAUGUUCUCAAGAAGAAUUCUAGGGCUAGGGUUCUGAACAAGCAUUCAAGGCUCAGUUGUCAGGUGGUACUCUCACAAGAGCUUCAAGGAAUGGUUGUGGCAAUUCCUGAGGCUAAGCCAUGGGAUAUUCCAUAAAAGGUGAAAUUAAAUAUAUUUCAAAGUCUAUGAACUGGAACUUUAGUGGUUUGAUUUAAUAAUAUGUGGAACUUAUGGUACUUGAUUGGCAAUUUUGAUUGCCUGAAAGUUGACAACUUUGUUCGUUUUAAAUGAAUGCAUGAAUAUUUUUCUAAGUAUGCGGACUGGAACUUUUUGUGAUUUGAGUUAAUAAGACGUGGAACUCAUGGCACUUGUUAGGCAUGAAAGUUCACAAUUUUGUUUGUUUCUUUCCCAAUUCCUGUAUGAGUUUUCUUUAAUAUCUGUCUCUGCCUCUGGUGGUACGAGGACAAGCUAAUUUACUGGUACUAGAAUGAAAUUGGUCUGAUAGACUAGGAGGGAUAUAAAAGAUUCAUAUAGGUGACCCCAACUAAUUAGUGAUUAAGGCAUAGUUGUUGGUAUUUUGUGAGCUAAUAAUUCCUCUGCAAUCGCACAGUCUAAAGAUUUUCAUGUUUAUAUCUUUGUAAAAAUGUGGUAAUGACUUGAGAAAUGGGCUAUUACUAAAUCUAGUGGGAGGUCGAAAACAUCAUAAACCUUUCUUGGCCAUUUGUAGCUGGAUCAGCUGCAACUAAACGUUGUGUGCUACUGGAUGUGUGCCUAUCACUAACUGUAAUUUAUUAGCUAUUAUUUACUGAGUAGAUUAUGUCCCUGAUCGUCUAAGCAACAAGAAUUCUUGAGCAUUCCUUUCCUGAUCAGCUGCAACUGAACACCGAGAGCUAUUCGAUGUUCCUCUAACUAAUUGUAAUGUAUUAGCUAGUAUUUACUGAGUAGAUUGUCCUUCACCCUCUAAAGCAAGGUGA